rnacentral:rRNA from 1 species
UACGUAGGGGGCUAGCGUUGUCCGGAAUCAUUGGGCGUAAAGCGCGUGUAGGCGGUCCGGUAAGUCCGUUGUGAAAUCUCCCGGCUUAACUGGGAGGGUGCAGCGGAAACUAGAAUGCUAGAGGGUGGGAGAGGUAAGCGGAAUUCCUGGUGUAGCGGUGAAAUGCGUAGAUAUCAGGAGGAACACCUGUGGUGUAGACAGCUUACUGGACCACUUCUGACGCUGAGACACGAAAGCGUGGGUAGCAAACAGG